rnacentral:rRNA from 1 species
GACGAACGCUGGCGGCGUGCUUAACACAUGCAAGUCGAACGGAAAGGCCCUGCUUUUGUGGGGUGCUCGAGUGGCGAACGGGUGAGUAACACGUGAGUAACCUGCCCUUGACUUUGGGAUCACUUCAGGAAACUGGGGCUAAUACCGGAUAGGAGCUCCUGCUGCAUGGUGGGGGUUGGAAAGUUUCGGCGGUUGGGGAUGGACUCGCGGCUUAUCAGCUUGUUGGUGGGGUAGUGGCUUACCAAGGCUUUGACGGGUAGCCGGCCUGAGAGGGUGACCGGCCACAUGGGGACGGAGAUACGGCCCAGACUCCUACGGGGGGCAGCAGGGGGGAAUAUUGCAAAAGGGGGGGAAGCCGGAUGCAGCAACGCCGCGGGGGGGAGGACGGCCUUCGGGGUGUAACCCGCUUUCGCCUGUGACGAAGGGUGAGGGACGGGAAUGGGUAAAGAAGCACCGGCUAACUACGU